UUCUCUGUGUCGCAAUUGGCUAGCGAGUUCGACUGUUAUGAACAGAUAAUUGAGAGGUUGACAGUUUCAGCCUGUCCGGGGGAG
rnacentral:tRNA from 2 species